rnacentral:siRNA from 1 species
UCAAGUUGGGUACCCACGGGUAGU